UAUCUGCAGUCGAGCGACUGAUUAGAAGCUUGCUUCUAUGACGUUAGCGGCGGACGGGUGAGUAACACGUGGGCAACCUGCCUGUAAGACUGGGAUAACUCCGGGAAACCGGAGCUAAUACCGGAUAACAUUUUCUCUUGCAUAAGAGAAAAUUUGAAAGAUGGUUUCGGCUAUCACUUACAGAUGGGCCCGCGGUGCAUUAGCUAGUUGGUGAGGUAACGGCUCACCAAGGCAACGAUGCAUAGCCGACCUGAGAGGGUGAUCGGCCACACUGGGACUGAGACACGGCCCACACUCCUACGGGGGGCAGCAGUGGGGA
rnacentral:rRNA from 1 species